CUUGUUGAAGACGACAAGAGGGAAAAGAACUACUACGACUAAAGCGAAGUUCGAAAGAGAGAUGGAAACUCGUGGCAAGAAGAGAGGUGAAGGGAGCAGCAAGACUAAAAGACCAUCCAACCCUAACCUGUGUUCCUCUAUGACUGUGCCACCUCAGGAUGAUCAAUCUGUAGAUGAGGUUGGCAUGCAACCGAAGACCAAAAAGGCCAC